CCUACGGGUGACUGCAGUGAGGAAUAUUGGUCAAUGGACGAGAGUCUGAACCAGCCAAGUAGCAUGAAGGAUGACUGCCCUAUGGGUUGUAAACUUCUUUUAUAUGGGAAUAAAAUGUUCCACGUGUGGGAUUUUGUAUGUACCAUAUGAAUAAGGAUCGGCUAACUCCGUGCCAGCAGCCGCGGUAAUACGGAGGAUCCGAGAGUUAUCCGGAUUUAUUGGGUUUAAAGGGAGCGUAGGUGGAUUGUUAAGUCAGUUGUGAAAGUUUGCGGCUCAACCGUAAAAGUGCAAUUGAAACUGGCAGUCUUGAGUACAGUAGAGGUGGGCGGAAUUCGUGGUGUAGCGGUGAAAUGCUUAGAUAUCACGAAGAACUCCGAUUGCGAAGGCAGUUCACUGGACUACAACUGACACUGAGGCUCGAAAGUGUGGGUAUCAAACAGGAUUAGAUACCCUUGUAGUC
rnacentral:rRNA from 1 species